rnacentral:rRNA from 1 species
AUACGUAGGGGGCGAGCGUUGUCCGGAAUGAUUGGGCGUAAAGGGCGCGUAGGCGGCCCGGUAAGUCUGGAGUGAAAGUCCUGUUUUUAAGAUGGGAAUUGCUUUGGAUACUGUCGGGCUUGAGUGCAGGAGAGGUAAGUGGAAUUCCCAGUGUAGCGGUGAAAUGCGUAGAGAUUGGGAGGAACACCAGUGGCGAAGGCGACUUACUGGACUGUAACUGACGCUGAGGCGCGAAAGCGUGGGGAGCAAACAGGAUUAGAUACCCUGGUAGUCCACGCUGUAAACGAUGAAUACUAGGUGUGGGGGGACUGACCCCUUCCGUGCCGGAGUAAACACAAUAAGUAUUCCACCUGGGGAGUACGGCCGCAAGGUUGAAACUCAAAUGAAUUGACGGGG